rnacentral:rRNA from 1 species
UACGUAGGCAGCAAGCGUUGUUCGGAAUUACUGGGCGUAAAGGGUGCGUAGGCGGCGCUCUAAGUUUGGUGUGAAAUCUCCCGGCUUAACCGGGAGGGUGCACUGAAAACUGGAGCGCUCGAGUAUGGGAGAGGAAAGCGGAAUUCCUGGUGUAGCGGUGAAAUGCGUAGAGAUCAGGAGGAACACCUGCGGUGUAGACGGCUUUCUGGACCAUCACUGACGCUGAGGCACGAAAGCGUGGGUAGCAAACAGG